rnacentral:antisense_RNA from 1 species
AGGUGCGCUUUGCUUCCUAACCCGUUGCCGGGUUGGAGAUUCCACCUCCGAAGUUUUCUUUCUGACUUUUGAUUUUACAUUCCUAGUACAGUGGAGAAGCCCAGGCGGCCUAGAAUCCAGUGUCGUCCGUGAGUGCUUGGCUGGUGGUCAAGUGCAUCUUCCAGCCUGAGACCGCGUGGACUCGCUCAUCGUGAGGGCGAGAGGAGGAUAAGCCCAUUGGGCUGUCGGCUGAGAGUGAGGUGCGGGAUUGCUGAUGAAAUCCUUGGCAUCGUCGGAGAUCUCAUCGAAUGCCUCGUCGUCGAAGUCCCAGGUGGCUGAGGUAACGUUGGCCAAGGUUUCGUUAUCGUUGUCUCCCAUGAAGGGGGAAAGGCCACUGACUCUGGAGAGACAAGAGCAGGACAGCAGGUGUGGCUAGGAGAGGGCGCGACCACCAGAUGAGGGAAUUGAGGCACAGCCCAGGCUCAAGUAACCUGCCCAAAGAUUCGCAGCCAGUGAGAUUGGAAGCCAGGUAUCUGCCUCUAGAGCCUGUCCUCUUAAAUGCUAUACUAUCCUAACAUUUCUGUGAAGAUGAAGUAAAUUGCAGUGUUCAGCACUGGCACCAGGCCUGGUCCACAGUAAGGAGGCAGUCCAUGCCUGGAGAUCUCAUGCAGUUCUGCUGGGUUCCCUCCACUGCCUUACCAAGCUCUGAGUGCAGGAAUGACUUUGUGACCAGCAGCUUAAGCCAAAUAAACUUUAUAAGGUAAAGAAUUUCAAAACAAAA